UACGUAGGGUGCAAGCGUUGUUCGGAAUUACUGGGCGUAAAGCGCGCGUAGGCGGGUUUGUAUGUCGAUUGUGAAAGCCCUGGGCUUAACCUGGGAAUGGCAGUCGAAACUGCAAAUCUUGAAUGUCUGAGAGGAUGGCGGAAUUCCCGGUGUAGAAGUGAAAUUCGUAGAUAUCGGGAAGAACACCUGAGGCGAAGGCGGCUAUCUGGCGGUACAUUGACGCUGAGGCGCGAAAGCGUGGGGAGCAAACAGG
rnacentral:rRNA from 1 species